CCGGGAGUCCUAGGAGCGGCGGGAGAUGGAGAGAUUGAGUAAUUUGCCUCUAGUCUCGUCUCAGGGGACAAGCAGCACGUGUUUGAAUGUCAAUCUGCCAACUACACCUACCUAUGGAUAAAAAUAAAGAUGGGAUUACAUCUGGACCAUUUAUUUCCAUUUUAAAUGUCAUAUGCAGGAAGUUUUGAACUGAAGUCGCCUUGACUUGGAGUUUUGCAUGUACUGGAAACAUCUUUAACAGCUCUCAACCCAAAUCUGAGAUGGACUGAUAUUGCUGAAAUAUAGCAGAGAACAUUUCUCUGCAGAAAAUUCUUUAGGAAAUCCUACCACCUCUAUUUAAACUGUUCUCCAUUCCAGUUUUCAUCACUCACCUUUUGGUGACAUCACAUUUUCCUGUAAAAAUGGGGCAUUGGGGUGGGAAAAAUAGAUUAAGUAAUGUAAUAAGGUAAGCUCAUUACUAAUCAAAUUAUUUGCUUUUUAAACAGUGCAGUCCAAUAUGUGUUCAUGCAGAGGAAAGUUUCACUGGGUUCCAUGACACUCGCUCUUAGAUAUAUUAGUACAGAAGUACUACACUGUACUAAUUUGGCCACUGUGAAAACAGGAUACUGGACUAGAUGGGCCUCUGACCUGUUCUAACUAGGCUCCUUAGUAGGUAAGAAACUUCCCAGCAACAGUACCAAGGCAGUAUCCAAGGCCAGUUCAAAUAAGCAGAGUCCACAACAAAGAGGUCAAGCAGCAAGAGACAAGGUCAAAGUAACCCAAAGGUCAGGGUCCAAGCAAUCCAUGGGCAAAGCAGGGCAAGGGCAAGUCAAAAGGCAGGUCUAGGAUAGUCCAGUGUCACAUCUGGAGUCAACAGGAGACCAGAAGCCAGGCCAGGUGUAGAGCUGAUACAUAAAUAUUGUUCCAGUAACUCUUCCAGCCUAGCACUGGGGAGUUUGAGCUGGAGCUGCUUUAAACACACCCCCAACCUCUGCUGACCUCUAUCAACCAUCUUCAGCCAGACUUUUACUCCCAAAGAGAGUUGUUAGGAGAGCCCUAUUCCCAUCACAUAGCUACAAUUCUCAGAGUGAUUUAACAAUCAAUUCCUCUUCCCAAGGAACUCUGGAAAUUGUAGCUCUGUGGGAGGAGAAGGGGACUCCUAACAACUCGCAGCAUCCUUAACAAACUACAGUCCCAGGAUUCUUUGGGGAAGUCAUGACUGUGUAAAGUGGUGUGAUACUGCUUUAAACAUAUGGUGUAGAUGUGGCAAUAUUGCAGUUGUUGCCAGAAGCCUAUUAUCUAUUUCCCCUCAAGGUAGUCGGUGCCCUGGAGGAGAAUAGAUUUUGAACUAUAAAUUUCAGUUUUGCAUUUUGACUAAAUGUUCUGUCAUUUGAAUGGAUUAUAAUUUUGUCUAUGUGUGCACAGAUGCACACAACCUUUGGCAAUACUGUCUGGAUUUUAUUUAAAAAUAGCUUUGGAGAAUUUUUGUCAAAUCUCU